rnacentral:rRNA from 1 species
CCCAGACUCCUACGGGAGGCAGCAGUGGGGAAUAUUGCACAAUGGGGGAAACCCUGAUGCAGCAACGCCGCGUGGGUGAAGGAGCGUUUCGGCGCGUAAAGCCCUGUCAGCGGGGAAGAAGAAAGACGGUACCCGACCAAGAAGCCCCGGCUAACUACGUGCCAGCAGCCGCGGUAAUACGUAGGGGGCAAGCGUUAUCCGGAUUUACUGGGUGUAAAGGGAGCGUAGACGGUAUGGCAAGUCUGAAGUGAAAGCCCCGGGCUCAACCUGGGAACUGCUUUGGAAACUGUUAAGCUAGAGUGCUGGAGAGGCAGGCGGAAUUCCUAGUGGAGCGGUGAAAUGCGUAGAUAUUAGGAGGAACACCAGUGGCGAAGGCGGCCUGCUGGACAGUAACUGACGUUGAGGCUCGAAAGCGUGGGGAGCAAACAGGAUUA